UAGGGUCUGUGCUAUGCGUUAUGAGUUAAGUAAAGUUUCCCGAGCGAUAAUAUUUAAUCAAGGGAGUUGCCUCUGCUGAUUUUGUGAAAUUGGUAUGCGACGCCCACCUUAACUUAAGGUCUCAGGAACGAGCUAAGGCUAACGGUAGUAACGGAUCCCUU
rnacentral:other from 1 species